UACGAAGGGGGCUAGCGUUGCUCGGAAUCACUGGGCGUAAAGCGCACGUAGGCGGCUUUUUAAGUCAGGGGUGAAAUCCUGGAGCUCAACUCCAGAACUGCCUUUGAUACUGGGAAGCUUGAGUCCGGAAGAGGUGAGUGGAACUCCGAGUGUAGAGGCGAAAUUCGUAGAUAUUCGGAAGAACACCAGUGGCGAAGGCGGCUCACUGGUCCGGUACUGACGCUGAGGUGCGAAAGCGUGGGGAGCAAACAGG
rnacentral:rRNA from 1 species